GAGCAGAGACCAUAGAGGGACACUGAUAAUUGGCUUACUUUUCAUAAUUUGCUCUAUUUGAUUUUUUAAUAUAACCCCUCACUACCUGGCUAGGGUUGGUACUGCCCCUAGUGAGCCAGGCCCUACCACAUCAAUCAUUAAGAUUGCCCCACAGGCAUUCAUAGAGUACAAAUUAUUGGAGGCGUUUUCUCAUUUGAGGUUCCUCUUCCCUGUUGUCCCAAAAAAAAAAAAAAAAAAAAAAAAACAAAACUGACUGGAGCAUUUACUAUCUCUAGCAGUAGGGUCUUACUCUCUAGUGCUGAGGGUAUCCAAUUCCAGUAACAGCAGUGAUAGAAUAGUGGUUUGAAAGCUCUAUGAGUAGGGAGGUGCCUCAUCCAUCUCUGGUUCUGGAUGGAGUUUUUAGGUAAUAACCUAUGGGUUUUUGGGGAGCAGCUUUAUCCACUCAUACAAGGUGCCUCUUCAGGUUUCUUCAUAUCACUUUGAGCUUGACCCUCUUCUACCUGCUUCCUUCCUCUAUCUCCCUGCCUGUCCUCAGAUCACCUUCCCCUGCCACCUUUCCUAACCUAGAGGCUAUCUCAGGGCCAGGUUUUUAAGAUUUAUUUUAUUAUGUACGUGAGUACUCUGUCGCUUUCUUCAGACAAAGCAGAAGAGGGCAUCAUCAGAUCCUAUCACAGAUGGUUGUGAAUCGCCAUGUAGUUGCUGGGAAUUGAACUCAGGACCUCUGGACGAGCAGUCAGUGUUUGUUCUUAACCACUGAGCCAUCUCUCCAGCCCCUCCCCCCCCUUAAAAGCUAACUUUUAUAGCAUCUCAUUCAUUCAUCUUUCAAAACGUGAGGGUGCAUAGUUCAUGAUGUGCUUACCUUAAGACUGAGCACUUCUUGAGGGCAGCAUGAACCUUAUUUCAGGCUUUUUAAUGUGUUUACGCAAACACAGGUUUAUGGCACCGAACUAAGCAGGUAUCAGUUAAUAUUGGGUAAAUAGACUACUGACUGGACAAGCUUCUUCUAACAACAGUAUUUGCUGUUAUCUAAGUUUUUUGCUAUAAACCAUGGGCUGAAUCAUUUAAGGCCUGCCGGGGAAGCUAGUAUAAAAACCUAACCUUGAAACCAUAUUUCAGGUCCAGGUUUGAAUGAUAGAUAGUCAAAAGUAUAAGUUGUCUGUGAUUAAAUGGCAUUUUACUAGUUUUUGUUUUGUUUAUUUAUUCAUUUAUUUUUAGGAAUUGUUGGAUAAGUAUUUAAUAGCCAAUGCAACUAAUCCAGAGAGUAAGGUCUUCUAUCUGAAAAUGAAGGGAGAUUAUUUCCGGUAUCUUGCUGAAGUAGCUUGUGGCGAUGAUCGAAAACGUAAGUAUAUUUGACCCACGGGUAAAUCCAGAAUACAUAAAAAGAAGUGGGAAUGGGUAGUCACUUGUCACUGUGACAAAAUAACCCGAGAAAGAUAGCUUGAAAGGAGAGAGUUACAUUGGUUUCAAAGGAUUGGUUCAUUAGUUAAUUCUGUUAGUGUGGACCCUGAAGUAGGCAGAACUUCACAGGAAUUGCUCAUUUAAUUGCAUCCAAGAAGCAAGAGGGUGGGGAUCUAGAGACAAUGUCUAUCUUUUCAGGAAACACUCCUUUGGCCUGUUUCCUUUAACUAGCUCCUGCCUCCUGGAUUUCAUCACAUCCUGAUAAUACCAUUAUCAAAGGUCUGAUCCAUUGGACUGAUCAGUACACUAAGUUUGUAGUUCUUAAAAGCCAUACAAACUUUCAACCCUAUCUUUAACACGUGCCUUAGAGAGUAUUUCAUAUUCAAACCAUAACAGGAUAAUUAGCCACAUGUAGGGUAGUAAUCUGUAGGUAGUUUGCAGGUUCUUUGUAACUUAAAAAUAAAAAAUUAUAUGUCUUGUCCCAGUGGAUGCCCCCACACCUGUGCCCAUAUGGCAACACUUAAUUAGAUAGGGAGGGAUAUUAAGUACAACCAAAACAAAGACAAGCAUGGGGAUGAUGGGGUAGGGGCACUAAGAGUGUUUUGGAGAGGAUGAUGGUGGGUGGAUAUGAUUAAAUUGUUUAAAUGUAUGAAAAUUUAAAAGAAUAAACAAAUGGUAUUUAAAUUAAAAAAAUUGUUUUUCUGUGUAUACAUGUUUUGCUUGUGUGUGCUUGGGUGCCUGGUGCCUUUGGAGGCCCUGGAACUAGAGUUUACAGAUGGUCGAGCUGCUGUGUGGCCUUGGAAUUGAACCUGGGUUCUCAGGAAGAACCACCUGUAUCUUAACCACUGAAAUAUUUCUCCAUCUACAUCAAAGAAAAUAACAAAAGUCUUUAAAAUGAACACUUGUAGUGGUACACAUCCUUGGUCCUAGAACUUGCGAGGCAGACAGGUGGAUCUCUGUGAGUUCAAGGCCAGCCUGGUCUGCAUGAUGAGAUUUAUGAUAGCCAGAGCUAUGAAGAGAUACCCUGUCUCAAAAAAGAAGUAUUUUAUAUAAAGGAAAUUGAAUUUCUUUUUUUGAUUGUAUUUCUGAAAAUGAAAACACUGCAGCAUCUAGGAAGCUGGAGCAGGAGAAUUGUCAGAACAACCUGGACUACAUAGUGAGACCCUGCCUC
rnacentral:lncRNA from 1 species